GACGGAGGGGGCGAGCGUUGUUCGGAAUUACUGGGCGUAAAGGGCGCGCAGGCGGUCAUGCAAGUCGGGGGUGAAAGCCCACGGCUCAACCGUGGAAUUGCCUUUGAAACUGCAUGACUUGAGUACGGAAGAGGAGAGCGGAAUUCCCAGUGUAGCGGUGAAAUGCGUAGAUAUUGGGAGGAACACCGGUGGCGAAGGCGGCUCUCUGGUCCGAAACUGACGCUGAGGCGCGAAAGCCAGGGGAGCGAACGGG
rnacentral:rRNA from 1 species